GGCGCUAUAGCCAAGUGGUUACGGCGACAGAUUCGAACACAACAAUCUGUUCCUCUUUGAGGGCGCAGGUUCAAAUCCUGCUGGCGUCG